CAAUCGAACUCGGAGAUAGCUGGUUCUCCCCGAAAUAGCUUUAGGGCUAGCCUCAAGUAGUAAGUAUAGGCGGUAGAGCACUGAUCGGGCUAGGGGCCAUAAAGGUUACCGAACCCUGUCAAACUCCGAAUGGUUAUACUGUAGAGCUUGGGAGUCAGACUACGAGUGAUAAGAUCCGUGGUCAAAAGGGAAACAGCCCAGACCACCAGCUAAGGUCCCCAAUGUCGUACUAAGUGGAAAAGGAUGUGGGGUCUCUAAAACAACCAGGAUGUUGGCUUAGAAGCAGCCACCAUUUAAAGAGUGCGUAAUAGCUCACUGGUCGAGAGACCCUGCGCCGAAGAUUACCGGGGCUAAAGUACGAAACCGAAGCUGUGGCUACGACAUAUGUCGUGGGGUAGGGGAGCGUUCUGUGAGGGCUGAAGUCGUUCUGUAAGGAACGGUGGACUUCACAGAAGUGAGAAUGUUGGUAUGAGUAGCGAAAAGAAUGGUGAGAAUCCAUUCCACCGAAAGCAUAAGGAUUCCUGGGCAACGAUCGUCGUCCCAGGGUAAGUCGGGACCUAAUCCGAGGCAUGGAGCGUAGGAGAUGGACAACUGGCAGAUAUUCCAGUACCGGUAAUGAUUGUUUGAGCGAUGGAGUGACACAGGAGGGCAGGCAGGCAGGAGAUUGGUUGUUCCUGUACAAGCGUGUAGGGUGGAACGUAGGCAAAUCCGCGUUCUGAGAGCCUGAGGCGUGAUGUGGAGGUUCCGGAAACGGAACUGAAGCUGCUGACCCCACACUGUCGAGAAAAGCUUCUAGUUAGAGAAUUACCGCCCGUACCGUAAACCGACACAGGUAUGCGGGGAGAGAAUCCUAAGGUGCGCGGGAGAACCCUCGUUAAGGAACUCGGCAAAAUGUACCCGUAACUUCGGGAUAAGGGUAGCCGCUGUUGUGAAGUCUGAACAGACGGAGCAUGAGGCGGUCGCAGAGAAGAGGCCCAAGCGACUGUUUACCACAAACACAGGUGCCUGCUAAAGAGAAAUCUGACGUAUAGGUGCUGACACCUGCCCAGUGCCGGAAGGUUAAGGAAGGAUGUCCGGAGCAAUCCAAAGCAUUCGACCGAAGCCCCGGUGAACGGCGGCCGUAACUAUAACGGUCCUAAGGUAGCGAAAUUCCUUGUCGGGUAAG
rnacentral:rRNA from 1 species